rnacentral:rRNA from 1 species
UUUGGUGAUGAUGGCGGAGGGGACCCACGCGUUCCCAUCUCGAACACGACCGUUAAGCCCUCCAGCGUCGAUGGUACUUGAACCGCAGGGUUCUGGGNGUUCCCAUCUCGAACACGACCGUUAAGCCCUCCAGCGUCGAUGGUACUUGAACCGCAGGGUUCUGGGAGAGUAGAACGUUGCCAAGC